AUUCAAUGAUUGAUAUUAGGGUCGGUGAACAAGUUCUUUAGUUGGCCAUCGAGGGCUCAUGACACUGCAUUGGAGAUGUUUCUGGUAAGUUAAAGAUGUUUAAUUUUUAAAUUUAUGAUAUAUUUGUAUUCUAUUUAUUAAUACGUGCUUGCUUCAAAUUGAAGAAAUACUACUGAUUUAAGACUCCUUAGGAUGAGAAGGCUGGCCAUCGGACCUUCAAGGAGGUCGUCACACGUAGGCUUCGAGAUGGGUUAUACAAUCUUAAGCAGUCCGUUACUGAGUUCUCCAAUUUUGAGUCACCAUCAGAUUGAAAGUCUUUCAUGAAUCAUUGGAUGCGAGAAGAUGUAUG
rnacentral:lncRNA from 1 species